rnacentral:rRNA from 1 species
UACGGGGGGGGGCAAGCGUUGUUCGGAAUUACUGGGCGUAAAGGGCUCGUAGGUGGCCAACUAAGUCAGACGUGAAAUCCCUCGGCUUAACCGGGGAACUGCGUCUGAUACUGGAUGGCUUGAGUUUGGGAGAGGAAUGCGGAAUUCCAGGUGUAGCGGUGAAAUGCGUAGAUAUCGGGAGGAACAUCAGUGGCGAAGGCGGCCUUCUGGUCCAGUACUGACACUCAAGUGCGAAAGCGUGGGGAGCAAACAGG